rnacentral:rRNA from 1 species
AUGACUAGGGAUAACCUUAGGAAGAGACACAUCAUCAAACCCAUUGAUUGUGUUUACUGCUUGUAACAAGAGUCUCGUUCUCACCUAUUUUUUGAAUGUAUAGUUGCUAAACAUCUCUGGGCCCACAUUGAGGAAUAUUUCUCUAGUCAGAUUGGGUCAUCCUUCGAAUCUGUCGCCAGAUUCUGGAUUGCUACAGAAAAGUGCUCAGUUUUAAGCACUGUUAGCCCAGCUGUCCUUUGGUGCCUCUGGAAAUAUAGAAAUGCUAUGAUUUUUAGUAACACCUCCUGGAUUUCCAUUCCACAGGUCUUGAGGUUGAUCAGGAACAUGGUGAGGAAUUGGACAAUUCUCUCCUCCGGAUCGGACAAGGACAAGUUGAUGAGCUUCGUGGAAGCCCUAACAAGAUCCCUCCAGAAACCGUUGGCGAUCACUUGUGGCUGA